CUCUGUCAACAAAAGUGAGGUGAUGCUGCAUCAGGGAUUGAGGAAAACGUGAUUUGGUAUAGACACACCAAGUUUUCUUUUGCUGGAAAUAAUGUAAUUUGUAGAUAUUUGGCAAGCACUGUAAUUAAAUUACUUAUGACAAAGAAGCAUCAUCUGUCAAUAUCGCAAACAUAAUUGCCAUUUUUGCACGAUGCCAGUAGUGUACUGAUACGACACUGUCAAGGCGAAUCAUUCUGCCGUCCUCGCAUGCCAUACAAGUACAAGUCGAACUGAUAUCCCAAUGCUGAUACUGCAGUUUCAAACUACACGCUAAUCAUCCCCAAUUGAAAAGAGACAAGCUGCUGUAGCUACGAAAUUCCAGGUGAACGGUAAUACUAUUCAUGUGAUGAUUAAGG